rnacentral:rRNA from 1 species
ACGCUGGCGGCGUGCUUAACACAUGCAAGUCGAACGCUGAAGCCUAGCUUGCUGGGUGGAUGAGUGGCGAACGGGUGAGUAACACGUGAGUAACCUGCCCUCUUCUUUGGGAUAACGCCCGGAAACGGGUGCUAAUACUGGAUAUUCACUGAUCCUCGCAUGGGGGUUGGUGGAAAGGUUUUUUCUGGUGGGGGAUGGGCUCGCGGCCUAUCAGCUUGUUGGUGGGGUGAUGGCCUACCAAGGCUUUGACGGGUAGCCGGCCUGAGAGGGUGACCGGUCACAUUGGGACUGAGAUACGGCCCAGACUCCUACGGGAGGCAGCAGUGGGGAAUAUUGCACAAUGGGCGAAAGCCUGAUGCAGCGACGCCGCGUGAGGGAUGGAGGCCUUCGGGUUGUAAACCUCUUUCGCUCAUGGUCAAGCCGCAACGUUUGGUUGUGGUGAGGGUAGUGGGUAAAGAAGCGCCGGCUAACUACGUGCCAGCAGCCGCGGUAAUACGUAGGGCGCGAGCGUUGUCCGGAAUUAUUGGGCGUAAAGGGCUUGUAGGCGGUUGGUCGCGUCUGCCGUGAAAUCCUCUGGCUUAACUGGGGGCGUGCGGUGGGUACGGGCUGACUUGAGUGCGGUAGGGGAGACUGGAACUCCUGGUGUAGCGGUGGAAUGCGCAGAUAUCAGGAAGAACACCGGUGGCGAAGGCGGGUCUCUGGGCCGUUACUGACGCUGAGGAGCGAAAGCGUGGGGAGCGAACAGGAUUAGAUACCCUGGUAGUCCACGCUGUAAACGUUGGGCACUAGGUGUGGGGGCCACCCGUGGUUUCUGCGCCGUAGCUAACGCUUUAAGUGCCCCGCCUGGGGAGUACGGCCGCAAGGCUAAAACUCAAAGGAAUUGACGGGGGCCCGCACAAGCGGCGGAGCAUGCGGACU